CAUCCGAAUGACCCCAACGUUUACGGUGAUUGACCGUGGACCAAUGGUGGUAGUACUAUCGGUGGUUCCCACAACAAUGGUAACUCAGGUUGGGGCUAUCCUCAUAAUAAUGGUUAUUACGGAAAAAGGGAUAUUGUUCCAGCCAUGAACGACUUCGGAGAAAGAAAAGGUCAAGGUUCGAAUGAUAUGGAAAAAUAUGAACGAGACUCGCCCUAACUUGUUCAGCUCCAAUACGGAAAAAAAUACACUUUUAAACUCGGUUUUGCAACAGUUGUUGAUAAUUAUAACGAUUCAGUUAUAUUCUGUAAUUGCAAAGAACUCGAAUAAAAGAUUAAAACGGA